rnacentral:sRNA from 1 species
UUGUCAGCCCUGGGAAUUAGAGUCCUCCAUUUAUCCACAGAACAGCUACAGCAAGGCAGCAGCAGUGCUAGUGCCUCCUAAUGUGCCUCAGCCAAAACAAGUGCAUUGACUCUCUCUGCCUCAGUUCCCCAACUGUAAGAUUGGAAUGACAUGACUUCCUUUCUCUCACUCUUGGUCUAUC